CGCCGGGAACUGCGCGGCAGCAGCACGGUGAACCCCGCCAGGGCCGGAAGGCAGCAACGGUAAGCCGACGCUCUGGGCGACGCACCAUUCCCGGCGCUU
rnacentral:SRP_RNA from 1 species